UUAACUCAAAUUUGUAUGGAGUUGGAACAGCUUCCCAGCGUUUGCCGCUAGAGGCGCUGUUCUAACUCCAUACAAAUUUGAGUUG
rfam:Bombyx mori DNA, contig: Bm_scaf29_contig18390, strain: p50T/Dazao, build 2, whole genome shotgun sequence.